rnacentral:siRNA from 1 species
AGCAACGUUGGUACUGCGGUAGGA